rnacentral:rRNA from 1 species
GGAGGCAGCAGUGGGGAAUAUUGCACAAUGGGCGCAAGCCUGAUGCAGCCAUGCCGCGUGUAUGAAGAAGGCCUUCGGGUUGUAAAGUACUUUCAGUCGUGAGGAAGGCGGCGUCGUUAAUAGCGGCGUUGUUUGACGUUAGCGACAGAAGAAGCACCGGCUAACUCCGUGCCAGCAGCCGCGGUAAUACGGAGGGUGCGAGCGUUAAUCGGAAUUACUGGGCGUAAAGCGCAUGCAGGUG